GCUGAAAUCAAACAUGGUAAAUCCUCCUAGUCGUCUUCUGGAAUCAAUCUCUCAAAGUAAUGAAGGAGGGCCAAGUCAUGGGGCCUAUUAUUCAUCAAGUUAUGCUUUUAAUAUAGUACAAAAGCAAACAUUAUAUUCCAAUGAUCCAACAAAAAUUGUCGAACAAAAAUAGGAAACAAUAGCCAGGAACAAAAUUACAAAAAGCAACAAUUCUGGAGUGGUCCAUAUAUAAAUAACAAAUUCCAGGCAAAUGUUAUUUCAAAAAAAAAUCAUCACACAGAUUCAUCCUUUCUUAGAAGGCGCUGAUACGCUGGGCCGAGCUUGAUACAUUGGAGGAGGAGGGGUCGGCGGUCUCGCCGGAGGUGGAGGCGGGGGGGAUUGGAGGAGGUGACGAGCCUCUGUGGAUUGUGUAGCCACACACAGAAGAAGAACGAUUACAAUUAGGAGUGCAUGCAGGAAUCCCGCCACUAUUUUCUUGCUUUUAGUAACUACUGCCAUGCUCUCUAAUUAACCUUCUGCUCUUGAGAAGAGAAGAUCAACAAGUUGAUUGAUUGAUUGAUGGGUGGGAUUAUGUUUGAAUGAUCAAAGCAGAUAAGACGUCUUUAUAUAGAUUACGAGAUAAUAUUGGUUUCA
rnacentral:lncRNA from 1 species